rnacentral:rRNA from 1 species
AUUGAACGCUGGCGGCAUGCCUUACACAUGCAAGUCGAACGGUAGAGUAGCAAUACUUGAGAGUGGCGAACGGGUGAGUAAUAUAUCGGAACGUGCCCAGUCGUGGGGGAUAACGUAGAGAAAUUUACGCUAAUACCGCAUACGAUCUAUGGAUGAAAGCGGGGGAUCGCAAGACCUCGCGCGAUUGGAGCGGCCGAUAUCAGAUUAGGUAGUUGGUGAGGUAAAGGCUCACCAAGCCGACGAUCUGUAGCUGGUCUGAGAGGACGACCAGCCACACUGGGACUGAGACACGGCCCAGACUCCUACGGGAGGCAGCAGUGGGAAUUUGGACAAUGGGCGCAAGCCUGAUCCAGCAAUGCCGCGUGCAGGAUGAAGCUCGGUUGUAACUAGCGUUUGUACGGUAACGG